UACGGGGGGAGCAAGCGUUGUUCGGAUUUACUGGGCGUAAAGGGCGCGUAGGCGGCCAGCACAAGUCAGUUGUGAAAUCUCCGAGCUUAACUCGGAAACUGCCGUUGAUACUAUCAAUCUUGAAUAUUGUGGAGGUAAGCGGAAUAUGUCAUGUAGCGGUGAAAUGCUUAGAUAUCUGGAGGAACACCGGUGGCGAAGGCGGCGUUCUGGACUGUUACUGACACUGAGGAACGAAAGCCAGGGGAGCAAACAGG
rnacentral:rRNA from 1 species